GUUUAGACUGAAAAAGGAAAACAUUUGUGUUAAUUCUGUGCGUGUGUGUGUAUUGGGGUUUGCAUUCACCCUAUUAAAACUGAGCUUCUAGAUGCGUUAUGUAGAACCUUCAAAAAUGGUUAUGUAUAUGUCUUCCCUGCAGGAUCAGCCUCCAACUUCAGCUUUUUCCGGUGGAUGAGGUCUCUCUUGCUCCCCUCCUGCAGGAGCUUGCGGUCCCCUCAGGAGCAGAUCAUCUUGGCGCCGUCCCUGGCUAAGGUUGACAUGGAGAUGACUCAGCUCACCCAGGAGAAUGCAGACUUCGCCACUCGGGAUCACUACCACCACUCGUCCCUCAUGAGCCGGGAGCAGCUGAUGCCUCACUACUAGAUGCAGUGCUGGGACCUUCCUCUUUUGGAGCUGUCCCAUGCACAGUAGACCCAAGCCCAGGACCUUCAUGGAGCUGCUUCUCCAACCUGAGAAACUCAAGACCCAUCCUCCCGCUGUCACUUUGGACAAUGGAAAUCUACAUUUUCUUUUCCCAUUUUUUUUUUUUUUGAGACAGAGUCUCGCCCUGUCACCCAGGCUGGAGUCCAGUGGCACAAUCUUGGCUCACUGCAACCUCUGCUUCCCGAGUUCAAGCAAUUCUCCUGCCUCAGCCUCCUGAGUAGCUGGGAUUACAGGCAUGCACCACCACACCCAGCUAUUUUUUGUAUUUUUACUGGAGACAGGGUUUUACCAUGUUGGCCAGGCUGGUCUCGAACUCCUGACCUCGUGAUCCACCCGUCUCAGCCUCCCAAAGUACUGGGAUUACAGGCGUGAGCCACCAUGCCUGGCCAGAAAUCUAUGUUUUCUUAGAACAUGUGGAAGAAGGAAAAAGACAAAAAAGGAAAUCUGGAUUCUGAGGACCACGUCUCACCCAGGAUGACAUCAGGAAUGGUGCUAGCCUCGGCAACACGACACCCAGUCUGAAGAGCUCUAUACAGGUACUAAGACUAGCAGGGGACACCAAGACUCUGCACAACCAGAUUGCUUGUGCAGAGGGCCACAAUAAGUGUAUGUUUUAUAUUUUAUUGUAUUAUUUAUUCAAAAAUAAAUAAUACACUCACAUGUUUCCACACCCAAAAGAUAUAUAGAG
rnacentral:lncRNA from 1 species